rnacentral:rRNA from 1 species
CCUGGGGCUGGAGUCGGUCCCAAGGGUUGGGCUGUUCGCCCAUUAAAGCGGUACGCGAGCUGGGUUCAGAACGUCGUGAGACAGUUCGGUCCAUAUCCGGUGCACGCGCAAGAACAUUGAGAGGAUUUCUCCCUAGUACGAGAGGACCGGGAGGAACGCACCUCUGGUGUACCAGUUAUCGUGCCAACGGUAAACGCUGGGUAGCCAUGUGCGGAGUGGAUAACCGCUGAAAGCAUCUAAGUGGGAAGCCCACCUCAAGAUGAGUGUUCUCAUGGCAUAAGCCAGUAAGGUCACGGGAAGAACACCCGUUGAUAGGCUCUACGUGGAAGCGCAGUAAUGCGUGAAGCGGAGGAGUACUAAUAGACCGAGGGCUUGACCAUAA